UACUCUGGUGACUAUGGACGACUUAUUUGUUGCUGUCGAUGCCAAUUGUGUGAGAUACAUCUGAGAAAGAUUUUUUUACUAAGCACUUGUGCAUGCCGAUAUACAUCUGAGAACAAAUUUUUUUACUGAGCACUUGUCCAUGCCGAUGAUAAUAGUUUUCAUUCUGCCUAAGCACUUGUUCAAUGCCAAUGAUGAUUUUUCUUACUUCAUUCUAUAAUUUUGCCGAGGCAUUGGACAUUUUCAAUGAUGUUUUUUGGAUGCUACACUUGAGAUGAGGCAUUGGACAUGUGCAGUGAUGGCUAAUUUUUUUCAUACUAAACAUGAGCCGAGGCAUUGGACAUGUGCAAUGAUGGUUAAUAUUUCUCAUACUAAACUUGAGCUGAGAGAAAAAAAUUCUCAGCUUGAAUAUGUAAGCUAUGCUACUAAUGUUUUUUCUUCUUAUUUGACAAAGUACAGUGGUUGAUACAAUAUCAGCUCUACCGAUGUCCUUGAUAUUCUUUCAGCUCAUUGAUGAACUGUGGAGAUUCUUGCUUCGACAGCUGUGAACAAGAACAAGAAUCCGAGCCAGAACCUGAACUAUUUUGUGCAGUCACACAUACAGAUGAGUAAAAAUAUUGAGACUGUCUGCAUUCUACUGCUUGUCUGAUAAAAAAGACAGUAACCUAUUCAUUCUAAUGUAUAUGAGAAUGGCCUGUUUUUUUUACUGUUUUCAGCUUGGACUUACAGAUUUAAAACUUAUUUACUUUGAUGCUUUUCUUGAUUAUAUUAUGUUGCUCUUCUGGGUACUGAACAGAUGCUCUUGCUUGAUUUAUUUUACUGUUGGUUAACUCCCAAUUUGAGUAAUAUACUUGCUUUCUGCAGGUCACAUGCUUCAAUCUCGGUUCGUUAGGAAGUGAAGGGCUACAUUUUGGUAUGUUUGUGCAUUUCAUAUUAGCUGGUAGUUGCCUCGUGCUAAUGAGUUUGGAUAUCUUAAUACUUUGAUCAUAAUAGAAAGAGGCUACAUGCAUGGUUAAAUCUGAAAUAGAUGCAUGAUGGAUGCAGUCUAUGCUACUUUGGCAAUUAAUCCUCAUCUUGAGGCUAUGUAGAAAGAGGUGAAGCAGCUCAUUGGUAUUGAUAAUUCAAGGGGUGGGGUCAUAUCAAUGGUCUCAUCGCCCUAGUGGGACGAGGUGCCCCACGAGAUGAUGAAGAUUGUAUCAGUUGUUGGAGGGGGAUUGUGCAAGACUACUCUUGCCAAGUAGUGUAUGAUGAGCUUAAACCUCAACUCGAUUGUGGGGCCUCUGUUUUGGUUGGCCGAAA